rnacentral:rRNA from 1 species
UAAAUUGAGAGUUUGAUCCUGGCUCAGGAUGAACGCUGGCGGCGUGCUUAACACAUGCAAGUCGAGCGAUGAAGUUUCCUUCGGGAAACGGAUUAGCGGCGGACGGGUGAGUAACACGUGGGUAACCUGCCUCAUAGAGUGGAAUAGCCU